GAUGAACGCUAGCGGCAGGCUUAAUACAUGCAAGUCGUGGGGCAGCGCAGGUAGCAAUACUAGGCGGCGACCGGCAAACGGGUGCGGAACACGUACACAACCUUCCGAGAAAUGGGGAAUAGCCCAGAGAAAUUUGGAUAAAUACCCCGUAACAUAACGAUGUGGCAUCACAUUGUUAUUAUAGCUUCGGCGCUUCUUGAUGGGUGCGCGGCUGAUUAGAUAGUUGGCGGGGUAACGGCCCACCAAGUCUACGAUCAGUAGCUGAUGUGAGAGCAUGAUCAGCCACACGGGCACUGAGACACGGGCCCGACUCCUACGGGAGGCAGCAGUAAGGAAUAUUGGUCAAUGGACGCAAGUCUGAACCAGCCAUGCCGCGUGAAGGAUUAAGGUCCUCUGGAUUGUAAACUUCUUUUAUCUGGGACGAAAAAAGGCGAUUCUUCGUCACUUGACGGUACCAGAUGAAUAAGCACCGGCUAACUCCGUGCCAGCCGCCGCCGUAAAAC
rnacentral:rRNA from 1 species